GACGAACGCUGGCGGCGUGCUUAACACAUGCAAGUCGAACGGAAAGGCCCUGCUUUUGUGGGGUGCUCGAGUGGCGAACGGGUGAGUAACACGUUAGUAACCUGCCCUUGACUUUGGGAUAACUUCAGGAAACUGGGGCUAAUACCGGAUAGGAGCUCCUGCUGCAUGGUGGGGGUUGGAAAGUUUCGGCGGUUGGGGAUGGACUCGCGGCUUAUCAGCUUGUUGGUGGGGUAGUGGCUUACCAAGGCUUUGACGGGUAGCCGGCAUGAGAGGGUGACCGGCCACAAUGGGACUGAGAUACGGACCAGACUCCUACGGGAGGCAGCAGUGGGGAAUCUUGCACAAUGGGCGGAAGCCUGAUGCAGCAACGCCGCGUGCGGGAUGACGGCUUUCGGGUUAUAAACCAAUUUCGCCUGUGACGAAGCGUGAGUGACGGUAAUGGGUAAAGAAGCACCGGCUAACUACGUG
rnacentral:rRNA from 1 species